UCAAACUUGGUCAUUUAGAGGAAGUAAAAGUCGUAACAAGGUCUCCGUUGGUGAACCAGCGGAGGGAUCAUUACCGAGUUAUAUAAAAACUCCAAAACCCUUUGUGAACCUUACCGUCGUUGCCUUGGCGUGAGCCGCGCUUACCCUACAAGUACCCUAUAGCUACCUACCCGGUAGGAACCUACCCGCGGUAGCUAGCCGGGGCGUAGCGCACUUUACGGCCCGCCAAAGGACAGCCUAAACUCUGUUUUUUUAUUACUGUGACAUGUCUGAAUGCGUAAACUAAAAUAAGUUAAAACUUUCAACAACGGAUCUCUUGGUUCUGGCAUCGAUGAAGAACGCAGC
rnacentral:misc_RNA from 1 species